GUGGGGAAUCUUGCGCAAUGGGCGAAAGCCUGACGCAGCAACGGCGCGUGCGGGAUGAAGGCCUUCGGGUUGUAAACCGCUUUCAGCAGGGACGAAAAUGACGGUACCUGCAGAAGAAGCUCCGGCUAACUACGUGCCAGCAGCCGCGGUAAUACGUAGGGAGCAAGCGUUGUCCGGAUUUAUUGGGCGUAAAGAGCUCGUAGGCGGUUUCGUAAGUCGAGUGUGAAAAAUCUGGGCUUAACCCAGUGGAGCACUCGAUACUGCGAUGACUUGAGUCUGGUAGAGGAGUGUGGAAUUCCUGGUGUAGCGGUGAAAUGCGCAGAUAUCAGGAGGAACACCAACGGCGAAGGCAGCACUCUGGGCCAGUACUGACGCUGAGGAGCGAAAGCGUGGGGAGCAAACAGGAUUAGAAACCCGGGUAGCC
rnacentral:rRNA from 1 species